UUCUGCGGGUAAAAAGUGAAAUUCUUGGACCGCAGCAGGACGGACUACAGCGAAAGCAUUUGCCAAGCGCGUCUUCAUUAAUCAAGAACGAAAGUCAGAGGUUCGAAGGCGAUCAGAUACCGCCCUAGUUCUGACCGUAAACGAUGCCAACUAGCGAUCCGUCGGUGGCUCCAAGGCCCUGAUGGGGAGCUUCCCGGAAACGAAAGUCUUCCGGUUCCGGGGGAAGUAUGGUUGCAAAGCUGAAACUUAAAGGAAUUGACGGAAGGGCACCACCAGGAGUGGAGCCUGCGGCUUAAUUUGACUCAACACGGGAAAACUCACCCGGCCCGGACACCGUGAGGAUUGACAGAUUGAUAGCUUUUUCAUGAUUCGGUGGUUGGUGGUGCAUGGCCGUUCUUAGUUCGUGGAUCGAUUUGUCUGGUUUAUUCCGAUAACGAGCGAGACUCCAGCCUACUAAAUAGUGCGGGAAUUGCCACUGUUCCCUUGCACUUCUUAGAGGGAUUGGCUGCGUCUAGCGGCACGAAACGGAGCAAUAACAGGUCUGUGAUGCCCUUAGAUGUCCGGGGCUGCACGCGCGCUACACUGGCAAAGGCAGCGUGCUUGUCCGUCUCCGAAAGGAGUCGGUAAACCCUUGAAAAUUUGCCGUGAUUGGGAUCGGAAAUUGCAAUUAUUUUCCGUGAACGAGGAAUUCCUAGUAAGUGCGAGUCAUCAGCUCGCGUUGAUUACGUCCCUGCCCUUUGUACACACCGCCCGUCGCUGCCUAGAACUGAGCCAUUUCGAGAAUAUUCGGGAUCGCUGGUUGCGCGCUCUUCGGGGCGUGCCUCCGGCCGGAGAACGAACGUAAUCGCAGUGGCUUGAACCGGGCAAAAGUCGUACCAAAGGUA
rnacentral:rRNA from 1 species